GCCCGCUCAGAAACUCAAAUGAAUUGACGGGGACCCGCACAAGCAGCGGAGCAUGUGGUUUAAUUCGAAGCAACGCGAAGAACCUUACCAGAUCUUGACAUCCAAUUGACCAUCUUUUAAUCGAGAUUUUGCCUUCGGGUACAAUUGAGACAGGUGCUGCAUGGCUGUCGUCAGCUCGUGUCGUGAGAUGUUGGGUUAAGUCCCGCAACGAGCGCAACCCUUGCCUUUAGUUGCCAGCAGUUCGGCUGGGCACUCUAAAGGGACUGCCGGUGUUAAACCGGAGGAAGGUGGGGAUGACGUCAAGUCCUCAUGGCCUUUAUGACCAGGGCUACACACGUACUACAAUGGCCGAUACAAAGGGCAGCGACACUGCGAGGUGAAGCCAAUCCCGUAAAAUCGGUCUCAGUCCGGAUUGGAGUCUGCAACUCGACUCCAUGAAGUUGGAAUCGCUAGUAAUCGUGGAUCAGCAUGCCACGGUGAAUACGUUCCCGGGCCUU
rnacentral:rRNA from 1 species